rnacentral:rRNA from 1 species
UCGAGGUGGAAGCAUGGUGACAUGUGGAGCUGACGAAUACUAAUCGAUCGAAGACUUAAUCAA